rnacentral:misc_RNA from 1 species
GAUGAAGAACGUAGCGAAAUGCGAUAAGUAAUGUGAAUUGCAGAACUCAGUGAAUCAUCGAAUCUUUGAACGCACCUUGCGCCCCUUGGUUAUUCCAAAGGGCAUGCCUGUUUGAGUAUCAUGAACACCUCAACUCUUGUGGUUUCCCACAAUGAGCUUGGACUGUGGAGGUUUUGUUGGCCCUGUGGUCAGCUCCUCUCAAAUGGAUCAGCUUACCGGUGUUUGGUGGCAUUACGGGUGUGAUAACUAUCUACGCUCGUGGUCGUCUCCAAAUAACCUCCAGUGAUGGAGGUUCGCUGGAGCUUAUAAAUGUCUCUCCCCAGUGAAGACAGCCUUUGAACGUUCGAUCUCAAAUCAGGUAGGACUACCCGCUGAACUUAAGCAUAUCAAUAAGCGGAGGA